UGCAAGUCGAACGAACUCUGGUAUUGAUUGGUGCUUGCAUCAUGAUUUACAUUUGAGUGAGUGGCGAACUGGUGAGUAACACGUGGGAAACCUGCCCAGAAGCGGGGGAUAACACCUGGAAACAGAUGCUAAUACCGCAUAACAACUUGGACCGCAUGGUCCGAGCUUGAAAGAUGGCUUCGGCUAUCACUUUUGGAUGGUCCCGCGGCGUAUUAGCUAGAUGGUGGGGUAACGGCUCACCAUGGCAAUGAUACGUAGCCGACCUGAGAGGGUAAUCGGCCACAUUGGGACUGAGACACGGCCCAAACUCCUACGGGAGGCAGCAGUAGGGAAUCUUCCACAAUGGACGAAAGUCUGAUGGAGCAACGCCGCGUGAGUGAAGAAGGGUUUCGGCUCGUAAAACUCUGUUGUUAAAGAAGAACAUAUCUGAGAGUAACUGUUCAGGUAUUGACGGUAUUUAACCAGAAAGCCACGGCUAACUACGUGCCAGCAGCCGCGGUAAUACGUAGGUGGCAAGCGUUGUCCGGAUUUAUUGGGCGUAAAGCGAGCGCAGGCGGUUUUUUAAGUCUGAUGUGAAAGCCUUCGGCUCAACCGAAGAAGUGCAUCGGAAACUGGGAAACUUGAGUGCAGAAGAGGACAGUGGAACUCCAUGUGUAGCGGUGAAAUGCGUAGAUAUAUGG
rnacentral:rRNA from 1 species